CCUACGGGAGGCAGCAGUGAGGAAUAUUGGUCAAUGGACGAGAGUCUGAAUCAGCCAAGUAGCGUGAAGGAUGACUGCCCUAUGGGUUGUAAACUUCUUUUAUAUGGGAAUAAAAUGUUCCACGUGUGGGAUUUUGUAUGUACCAUAUGAAUAAGGAUCGGCUAACUCCGUGCCAGCAGCCGCGGUAAUACGGAGGAUCCGAGCGUUAUCCGGAUUUAUUGGGUUUAAAGGGAGCGUAGGUGGGUCGUUAAGUCAGCUGUGAAAGUUGGCGGCGCAACCGUAAAAUUGCAGUUGAAACUGGCAGUCUUGAGUACAGUAGAGGUAUGCGGAAUGCGCGGUGUAGCGGUGAAAUGCAUAGAUAUUGCGCAGAACCCCGAUUGCGAAGGCAGCAGACCGGCGGCGAUCUGACGCUGAGGCACGAAAGCGUGGGUAUCGAACAGGAUUAGAUACCCCUGUAGUC
rnacentral:rRNA from 1 species